GACGUAGGGGGCCAGCGUUGCUCGGAAUUACUGGGCGUAAAGGGUCCGCAGGCGGUGCGGUAAGUCGGGAGUGAAAUCUCUGGGCUUAACUCAGAGGCUGCUUCCGAAACUACCGUGCUAGAGUGCGAGAGAGGCAAGUGGAAUUGCGGGUGUAGCGGUGAAAUGCGUAGAUAUCCGCAGGAACAUCCGAGGCGAAAGCGGCUUGCUGGAUCGCAACUGACGCUGAGGGACGAAAGCUAGGGGAGCAAACAGG
rnacentral:rRNA from 1 species